rnacentral:rRNA from 1 species
UACGUAGGGCGCAAGCGUUGUCCGGAAUUAUUGGGCGUAAAGAGCGUGUAGGCGGCCAUGCAGGUCAGCUGUGAAAACUCGAGGCUCAACCUCGAGACGUCGGUUGAAACCGUAUGGCUAGAGUCCGGAAGAGGAGAGUGGAAUUCCUGGUGUAGCGGUGAAAUGCGCAGAUAUCAGGAAGAACACCUAUGGCGAAGGCAGCUCUCUGGGACGGUACUGACGCUGAGACGCGAAAGCGUGGGGAGCGAACAGG